rnacentral:rRNA from 1 species
CACGUAGGGUGCGAGCGUUGUCCGGAAUUAUUGGGCGUAAAGAGCUCGUAGGCGGUGUGUCGCGUCGGCCGUGAAAACCUGCAGCUUAACUGUGGGCGUGCGGUCGAUACGGGCAUCACUGGAGUUCGGCAGGGGAGACUGGAAUUCCCGGUGUAGUGGUGAAAUGCGUAGAUAUCGGGAGGAACACCAGUGGCGAAGGCGGCUUCCUGGCCUGUUCUUGACGCUGAGGCGCGAAAGCUAGGGGAGCGAACAGG